AAUGUAUAAAUCACAUCAAGAGGGAUCCUGGUCCAUAUUUCAAGGUAAGAUGCAAAAUUAUGUUCAAUCAUACGCAUUAGCUAGCACAAAUAAGCUAGCUCGCCAAACUUGUCAUGACUCAUGUAGCCUAAUGACGCGAAUGCCUCGGUGAAAUAAAAAAAUAUGAAUGUGUAAUUACACAACGCUACAUUUAUAUGAUAUUUCCAGAUCGCUAUUUUCAAGAUUAGGCUUUUAAUUGUGUGGUAAGCGAUCCGAUGGCCAUUGAUUUUGUGCUACCAGAACCAGUAGCAUAGGCCUACUUGAUUCCCUGAUUGUCGCUCCCAACGCAGGACGCUCCCCGGUCAGCUCGCUCCCACUAGCCAGACUAUCGAUCCCACCGCCAUAUAACGGAGCUAGUUAUCUUUUUGAUGUUAGUUUUUUGUUUCUAACCCUAAACCUAACCAUAACCCUAAACCUAACCCUAAAUUGCUUGUAUGUGGCAGUGUAUGAUAAUACGUGAAAUAUAAUCGGGUGGGACUACACGUCCGGGAGUGAUAGAAACACCUGGGACUACACGUCCGGGAGCGAUCUCAGUUGGGAGUGUCCAUCUACCUCCCGGCCUACUUGUGCCAAAAUCAAGUUGUUUUGCUAACGAACUAAAAUGCAUACCCUGGUAUUUAUGGUUACAGAUCAACGCUGAGACCAAGGUUUGCUCUGAGCACUUUGAGAAGCAGUGUUUUGUAAAGACCGCCCGUGGUAUCACAAAGCUUAUAAGGAUGCCGUGCCACUUUGUUCGCCUGGACUUCAGAGAGGCCAACGAGGAGAAUCAUCAUUCGCAGACCGAGAGAUGAUGACCCAUUCCUGAAGUUGGACGCCAGAAUGGAGGAAGGUGCUGUUUAAGAGCCUAGGCGGUGGAAGAAGCACUUGCAGGUAUGCUACUAACCAGGCUCCUCAACAUCAAUCCGAGACGGAAGAUGAACCGGGAUGAAGCGGUUAGAUUGAGACAAGGCGGCCGGAAACUUUGAUGACCUCAAUGACACUGGCUAGGUGAAGGACAUCAAGAAAAUGGCAUCCGGUCACCAGACAUCAGCUCAUAAGCCACAACGUCAUCAACCAUUUUGCGCCAAAAAUGAAGCCGUUCACAUACCAUGGCAUCCUAAGCAGGCAGCACCACACUACUGUGCAACAGUGAGAGAGAGCGGGCAAGGACAAGUAAAACGGACCUACACUACAGCAAGACUUUGACACUUCUCCGCGUGAGAGGCAGCCAUCGCCCCCACCGUUGAGCAGUGUGUACCCAGUACCCCCAAAAGAGGAGAUGAUCCGACGCCAUCACAGCCGAUUUCUAAAAUUGUACACCAAACU